rnacentral:rRNA from 1 species
AGCGAACGCUGGCGGUAGGCCUAACACAUGCAAGUCGAACGGCAGCACAGUAAGAGCUUGCUCUUACGGGUGGCGAGUGGCGGACGGGUGAGGAAUACAUCGGAAUCUACUUUUUCGUGGGGGAUAACGUAGGGAAACUUACGCUAAUACCGCAUACGACCUACGGGUGAAAGCAGGGGAUCUUCGGACCUUGCGCGAUUGAAUGAGCCGAUGUCGGAUUAGCUAGUUGGCGGGGUAAAGGCCCACCAAGGCGACGAUCCGUAGCUGGUCUGAGAGGAUGAUCAGCCACACUGGAACUGAGACACGGUCCAGACGCCUACGGGAAGCAGCAGUGGGGAAUAUUGGACAAUGGGCGCAAGCCUGAUCCAGCCAUACCGCGUGGGUGAAGAAGGCCUUCGGGUUGUAAAGCCCUUUUGUUGGGAGAGAAAAGCAGCAGGUUAAUACCCCGCUGUUCUGACGGUACCCAAAGAAUAAGCACCGGCUAACUUCGUG